rnacentral:rRNA from 1 species
UACAUAAGCCGUAAGGGUUGUUAAUAUUUGAUCGGGGUAAAUUAUACUUAUUUUUUUUAAAAACUGUUGAAUAAGUUUUUAAUUAUAGGGAUAAAAUACUUUGAUAAUUAAAGGCUUUUUUUUUUAAAGGUAAUUUAAAGGUUUUUUUUUUUAAGAUUUGUUUUAAAGUAUAAAAAUAAAAAAGGGUUAGGUUCCCUUGUUUUUUUUACCCCAAAUAAAUAAGUUUUUUUUUUUUGGAAUAUUUAACAUAAUACUUAAACCGGGGGAAAAAAGGCUCAAGCCUUAAACUAAAAAAAAUUGGCGGGACUAUAUAUGUUGGUGUGAACAUGUGGUUUAAUGCGGUAAUCCUCGCAACACCUCACUAAUAUAAAUAAAUACUCUGGGUAUUGAUAAUUACCCAAUAUAGUUUUUUUAGUAUUGCAUGGCUGCCGUCAGUUUAUUUCGUGAUAAUCAGCAUUUAUUUGCAAUAUAAACGCACACUUAUUUUUAAAUAAGUAGACGACAAGUCUGUAUGGUCUACAUAUAUUAGGCUACACACGUGUUACUUUUAAUUAUAUCAGAUAUGACAGUAAAAGUAAUUUUACUGUAAUAAACUUUUUUUUUAAUUUAGGUUUUAAAUUCAGCCUUAUGAAAUAGAAAUAACCAGUAAUCGUAGUUUAGGAUGCUACGUAGUAUCGCAAGUUUUUAUGAGUUUGCACACACUGCCCAUCACGCUCAGAAAAUUUUUUAUCUUUAAUGCUAAAUAUUUUUAUAUUAUAUAUAUAUGUAAUUAGUAUAGUACGAUUGGUAUGAAGUAAUUCGAGUGAAG